UACUGAGGAUCUUCUGCUAGAAACGUGUACGUCCUGUACACAACGCAGAAGUCACCGCAUCCUGCGAA
rnacentral:sRNA from 1 species